UGGGGAAUCUUGCGCAAUGGGCGAAAGCCUGACGCAGCAAUGCCGCGUGAGGGAAGACGGCCUUAGGGUUGUAAACCUCUUUCGGUUGGGACGAAGCUUCCAGAGUUAAUAGCUCUGUGGAGUGACGGUACCUUCAGAAGAAGCCCCGGCUAACUACGUGCCAGCAGCCGCGGUAAUACGUAGGGGGCAAGCGUUGUCCGGAAUCAUUGGGCGUAAAGAGCGUGUAGGCGGCCCGGAAAGUCUGGUGUGAAAACUUGAGGCUCAACCUCAAGCUUGCAUCGGAUACUGUCGGGCUUGAAUCUGGAAGAGGAGAGUGGAAUUCCUGGUGUAGCGGUGGAAUGCGCAGAUAUCAGGAGGAACACCAAUGGCGAAGGCAGCUCUCUGGUACAUGAUUGACGCUGAGACGCGAAAGCGUGGGUAGCAAACAG
rnacentral:rRNA from 1 species